AACCAAUCGAUGAAAAAUAAAAAGCAGUUUCAUACCUCGCAUUUGUUACAUUUUUUUUCUUUUCAAAUAUCUCCUAUACUUGUCAUGUUCCGUCAAGUAUUUUGCUUUCCAAAAGAGCUCCCACAAAAAAGUUCAAGCUUGGCUGUUCUAGAAAGUAACAACGAUUUCAACAUGGACUACGGCAUAUCACGACAUUGAUGAAAAAUAUAAAGCAGUUUCAUACCUCGCCUUUGUUACAUUUUUUUUUCUUUUUAAAUAUCUCCGAUACUUGUCAUGUUCCGUCAAGUAUUUCGCUUUCCAAAAGAGCUCCCACAAAAAAAGUUUAAGCUUCGCUGUUCUAGAAAAUAACAACGAUUUCAACAUGGACUACGGCAUAUCACAUAUAGACAAUAAAAGACAAAAAUUAAACCUGAAAAUCAAUAAACGCAAAUAUUCAAUUUUUU